CUCGAUUUUUAUCAUAAAUUGAUAAUUUGCUUACCUUUGAUAGAUCUCAUCAAAAGAAACACUAUUCUUACCAUUAAUUGUCACAAAAUAUGUACAGGAUGAAAAGAACACUGGUUCUUUUCAUCCUCUAUAUGCCCGGAUAAUUUUUAUAUUUUUAGUAGACACAGGGUUUCACCAUGUUGGCCAGACUGGUCUCGAACUCCUGCCCUCAGAUGAUCUGUCUGCCUUGGCCUCCCAAAGUGCUGGGAUGACAGGUGUGAGCCACUGCACCUGGCCAGUUAUCUCCAUUUUUCACAGGAGAGAACAGAAUUGGAGCAAUGCAGCAGAUGCACACAACCAGCAAACCUAGAGCUGGAAUCCGAAGUCGAUGCAUGUGAACGUCCCAGCUCAGAGAGAGGCGGUGAGCAGGAGAGGACUGGGUGAAAAUGGUUCGCACACACACCUUUGUCUUCAUCAUUUAGUCCUCCAGGGUGUCACAUGGACUACGCCACUUGACCUCCACAGCAAUUCUGUGGCAUUUGUGCACCAGAAACUUUAUCCCUGUUUUGCCAGCGAGGAAACUUAGGUUUGGAACGGGUAGAUCACCGCACAAAGCCUUACUGUAAAGAGCGCCAGGCCUCAAACUUUUGCUGGCAUUGUCCUUCACAGUUUACUUUAGGGCCUGUCAUUUACUGGGGUGAAACACAAAAGUUUCUUGUCCCUGAAAGUCUGCAAUUAAAGUGCCAUUAGCACAGUAAUGUACCAACCAGUCGUUCCUUGGGCCGCAAGGGGGCAUGUCUACUGCUACUCAGUCUCAGUGGGUAAGCUGGAGAGUCCUCCCACAAUGAGCAGAUUCCGAGGCGGGUGUGUACAUGGAAGGACUCACAGGGGUUGGGGAGGCAGCAGUGGCGUUCUGUCCGAGCCUGUUUGUGUUGCUAUAAAGGAAUACUCGAGGCUGGGUAACUUAUGAAGAAAAGAGGUUUAUUUGGCUCAAGGUUCUGCAGGCUGUACAAGAAACAUGGCGCCAGCAUCUGCUUCUGGUGAGGCCCUCAGGGAGCUUCCACUCAUGGCAGAAGGGGAAGGGGAGCUGGCAUCAGAUGGCAAGAGAGGAAGGAAGAGAGGAGUGCGGGAGGUGCCAGGCUCGUUUCAACAUCAGCUCUGGCAAAAACUAACAGAGCAAGAACUCACUCCUUCCCGAGGGGACAAGAGGAUGGCACCAAGAGGCACAUGACCCCAAGACUCCCAGUAGGCUCCACCACCAACACCAGGAAUCAGAUUUCAACAUGAGAUUUGGAGGGACCAGGUAUCCAAUCUAUCCAUCCACUCCAAGCAUCCAUUUGAUACCCAGAAUGCAUUAUUUCAGCACCCGUAUCCAUUCAACAAAACUAUUUUAAAUUAUAAUCAUGUAAUAGGAAUAAUCAUCAUUUUCCUAAUUAUUCUUCGGUUUCAAAACCAAAAAUUGGCAGGUCAUGGUGGCUCACACCUGCACUCCCAGCACUUUGGGAGGCCUCAGGUAGAUCACCUAAGGUCAGGAGUUAGAGACCAGCCUGGCCAACAUGGCGAAACCCCAUCUCUACUAAAAAUACGAAAAUGAGCUGGGCGUGGUGGCGUGUGCUUGUAAUCCCAGCUACUGGGGAGGCUGAGGCAGGAGAAUCACUUGAACACGGGAGGUGGAGGUUGCAGUGAGCCGAGAUCGCGCCACUGCACGCCAGCCUGGGUGACGAGAGUGAAACUCCAUCUCAAAAAAAAAAAACCCAACAAUUACACUUUUAAAAAACAAUAAAUUUCUUUCCUUUUUUUUUUUUUUUUUUUCUGAGACAAGAUCUCACUCUGUCACCCAGGCUGGAGUACAGUAGUGCAGUCACGGCUCACUGCAGCCUUAGCCUCCCAGGCUUAAGCAAUCCUCCACCUCAGCCUCCCAAGAAGUUGGGACCACAGGCACGCUUGGCUAAUUUUUAAAUUUUUUUGUAGAGACAGGAUCUCACUAUGUUGCCCAGGCUGGUCUCAAACUCCUGGCCUCGAGUAAUCCUCCUCCGUUGACCUCCCAAAGCAUGAGCCAACGUACCUGGCCAAAAAAAAUAAAUUUCAAUUGUAUUUUAUUUAUUUAUUUAUUUAAUAUUUUUUUGAGACAGAGUCUUAUUCUGUCGCCCAGGCUGGAGUGCAGUGGCCCAAUCUCGGCUCCCCGGGUUCUAGCGAUUCUUCUGCCUCAGCCUCCUGAGUAGCUGGGACUACACGCCCGUGCCACCACGCCCAGCUAAUUUUUGUAUUGUUAGCAGAGACAGGUUUUCACCAUAUUGGCCAGGCUGGUCUCGAAAUCCCGCCUCGGCCUCCCAAAGUGCUGGGAUUACAGGCGUGAGCCACCACUCCUGGCUAAAUUUCAAUUUUAAAGACAUUAUUUGAAUUCAGUAAAAUGUGUAAUAUAUGAGCUAAAAUCCACACUAUAACAAAAAUAUUUCAGCUUGCGGUUCCCACCGCCCUGUUUCACUGAUUCAAAUUUUAAGCACAAGUGAUCACAUGGAAUGAAGUGAAGUAAAGCAAGUUCUCCUCGUUUGUCUUUAUAGUCAUAGUGCUACCACGGUUCACUUCAAACCUGCUGUUUACAUGCAGGAGGUUGCAGUGCCCAUCAGCUGGAUCAAACUGUGCCUGAAGCUAGCACUCUGCUUCUGAACCAAAUAAACUUCUUGUGGCUGAACGAAGACGUGUUGGAACCAAUUAUAAUAACAGAGCACCCUGACUUUCAGUCGGCUUGAUCAGUCUUUUUUUUUUUUUUUCGAGACGGAGUUUCACUCUCGUUGCCCAGGCUGGAGUGCAACGGCGCGAUCUCGGCUCACCACAACCUCCGCCUCCCGGGUUCAAGCGAUUCUCCUGCCUCAGCCUCCCGUGUAGCUGGGAUUACAGGCACACGCCACCACACCUGGCUAAUUUUGUAUUUUUAGUAGAGAUGGGGUUUCCCCAUGUUGGUCAGGCUGGUCUCGAACUCCCAACCUCAGGUGAGGCUUGAUCACUCUUUUAGGUUCUCUGUGGCUAAGGUGACGCCCACACCCGAAUGAAGUUCCCCUUCCCCAGCCUCAGGCAUCCAUGGCAGGAGGUGAAGUUGUGGGGAUUGUUGAUAAUGGAUGGAAUGUGAACGAGUUGCAUCAGGAAAUGCAGGCUGAGCACAGUGGCUCCCGCCUGUAAUCCCAGCCCUUUGAGAGGUCAAUACAGGAGGAUUGCUUGAGGCCAGGAGUUUGAUUCCAGCCUGAGCAAUAUAGUGAAACCUUGUCUCUACAAAGAAUUUUUUUUCUUUUUUUUCAGAGACAGGGUCUCGCUCUGUUAUCUAGACUGGAGUGCAGUAGUGUGAUCAUAGCUCCCUGUAACCUCAAAACAUUUUUUUUUUUGAGACAGAGUUUCACUCUUUUUGCCCAGGCUGGAGUGCAGUGGUGUGAUCUCAGCUCACUGCAAGCUACACCUCCCAGGUUCAAGCGAUUCUCCUGCCUCACCCUCCCAAGUAGCUGGGAUUAAAAGUGCCUGCCACCACGCCCGGCUAAUUUUUUGUAUUUUUAGUAGAGACGGGGGUUCACCAUGUUGGCCAGGAUGAUCUCAAUCUCUUGACCUCAUGAUCCACCCGCCUUGGCCUCCCAAAGUGCUGGGAUUACAGGCAUGAGCCGCCACACCCGGCCUCAAAACAUGUUUUUUUUUUAAUUAUACAGGAGGCGCACACCUGUAAUACCAGCUAUUUUGGAGGUUGAGGUGGAAAGAUGACUUGAGCCCAGGAGGUUGAGGCUGCAGUGCGCUAUGAUUGCGCCAAUGCACUCCAGCCUCGGCGACAGAGCAAGACCCCGUCACAACAACAAAAAAUGAGAAAAUGGACAUUUAUGGCAAACUACUUCUGCCCCGAGAUUUCCUGUGGGUUCUGCGUGAUUGGCUCUCAGGGUGUGGGCAGCUAAGGUUCCAAAGUGUACUGUUUAAUCCUAGCACAGCACAAAUGGCUUGCAGGAGAUAAGGCAGAAUCUCAUCAGCACAUCAGGGUAAGCACCCAGCUAUCAUGGGCUAGACCCAUGGAGAAGCCGUGCUCUGGGAACCCCCCUCCUCCUUCACUAGAGGCAAUGAAAUGAAGCAGUAGCUCCUGCUCUGACCUUACUGCUCCCAGAGUCCUUGUGGGUACUAGUUCCAGUCUCAGACUAACAGCCAGAAGAUCUGCCAUUGAAGUUUCAGUUCCAAAACUAAUGCGAUGACUUUGGGUAAGUCAUAAAACCUCAAGGGUCAGUUUCUUCAUCUGUUAAAUAAAAUCGACAUCUGCCCUGCCAGCCUCACAGGGUUGUUUUAAGAAGGAGAUGGAAUAACAGAAAUGAAGGAGGGAGGCCGGCUGCUACCACAGGGCAGGGACUAUCACCCACUGUGGCCUCCAACCUGAUGGUGCCUCAGAGUCAGCUGGGGCUGCCCAAACACAAACCGCCGGGCUCCACCCCCAGGGAUUCCCAUGCUGAGGUCCGGGUUGAGGCCCAGAAUUUCCAUGUCUAAUGAGUGCCCAGGUGGUGCUUUUGCUGCUGAUCCAAGGACCACACUUUGAAAACCAUGACUUAGGUUUAGGAGGACGGGCUCUGGAGGCAGGUUUGAGUCCUGGCUGUACCACUUCCUGUCUACAUGUCUGAGGACAAGUGACUUAAUCUUUACAUUUCAGCUUUCUCAGCUAUAGACAAUAUAAUAUUGAGAGUGCAAAUUAGUUCAACCAUUGCGGAAAGCAGCAUAGUGAUUCUGCAAAGAACUUAAAACAGAACUACCAUGCAACCCAGCAAUCCCAUGACUGGGUAUAUACCCAGAGGAAUCUAAAUCGUUCUACCAUAAAGACACAUGCAGGUGUAUGUUCACCACAACACUAUUCAUGAUAGCAAAGAUGUGGAAUCAACAUAAAUGCCCAUCCACAGUAGACUUGACAAAGCAAAUGUGGUACAUUUACAUCGUGGAAUACCAUGAAGCCAUAAAAAAGGAACGAGAUCAUGUCCUUUGCAGCACUAUGGAUAGAGGUGGAGGCAAGCUAAGGCAGAAACAGAAAACCAAACACCGCGUGUUCUCACUUAUAAGUGGGAGCUCCACAGCGAGAACACAGGGAUAUUAGGAGGGGAACGGUGGGCAACGGGGCCUACCUGAGGGUGGAGGAUGGGAGGAGGGAGAAGAUCCGAAAAAAUACCCAUCGGGUACUAGGCUUAUUCCUCAGUGAUGAAAUUAUCUGUACACCCAUCCCCCAUGACAUGAGUUUACUCAUGAAACAAACCUGCACAUGGACCCUCAAACCUAAAAUAAAAGUUAACAAAAAAUUUUCCUGACCAACCUCUUCAGGAAGAGGGGCAAUCCUCGUGUCACAAGCAAUGCCAAUAAAGAACAGGAACGCCACCUUUUUCAACUCCUGAGAGAUGAAUCCAACGUCUGACCCUGCAUUGCAUGCACUCUCGCCCACGUCGGCUCUCAUCCCCACACUCCUCGUUCCUGUCACCGGCCUAUGCUGUAAACACCCUAGCAGUCACAAUCAGUCACUUAUCUGUCUUAUGGGUCUAUUAUUUCAUUCUCUGUCCUGCAACCGAAGCUCUGCGUUGUCUUACCCAUGUUUAGAACAGCUCCGUUCAAUGAUGAGAGUCACACAAGCCAUCUAAACUUUUCUGGUGGUCACAUUAGAAAAGUAAAACAGCAAGAAAUAGUUUUAUUAUUAUUAUUAAGAUGGAGUCUCACUCUGUCACCCAGGCUGGAGUGCAGUGGGACAAUCUCGGCUCACUGUAACCUACACCUCCCGGGUUCAAACGAUUCUCCUGCCUCAGCCUCCCAAGUAGUUGGGAUUACAGGCACUCACCACCACACCCGGCUGAUUUUUGUAUUUUUAGUAGAAAUGGGGUUUCACCAUGUUGGCCAGGCUCAUCUCGAACUCCAGACCUCAGGUGAUCCACCCGCCUCAGCCUCCCAAAGUGCUGGGGUUACAGGCAUGAGCCACUGUGCCUAGCCACUAAUUUU
rnacentral:lncRNA from 1 species